UACAUAGGUCUCAAGCGUUGUUCGGAUUCAUUGGGCGUAAAGGGCGCGUAGGCUGCGGGGCAAGUCGGGUGUGAAAUCUCAGAGCUCAACUCUGAAACUGCACUCGAUACUGCUUUGCUCGAGGACUGGAGAGGAGAUUGGAAUUCACGGUGUAGCAGUGAAAUGCGUAGAUAUCGUGAGGAAGACCAGUGGCGAAGGCGGAUCUCUGGACAGUUCCUGACGCUGAGGCGCGAAGGCCAGGGGAGCAAACGGG
rnacentral:rRNA from 1 species